GCCAAGUUGUGAAUCUUCAGGUAUUUAGAUAGGUUGAUAUGAUAAUAUGCUUUCAAAUGCAUCAAGUAAGGAGGUACCGGGUUUGAUUCAAGGUGAUUUGUGUUGAUUAAUGUCUGAAUGUCAAUUGAAACUAGGUACUUGCCUUCAUUGCAAUACAUUAGUUUGUCUCCUUCAGAGAUGUGUUUUAUACUCUUCUGAUGUAACUUUAUACCAGGUUCGUCCUCAUGUCAAAUGACAUAGAGAAGCUUCCAUCAUAUUAGAAUAGUUGUGUAAUGUGUGGUCAUGUUCAUCGCUAAGUGCACCCAUCCUAAACUACACAAAACAGCACGGAUCUAUUACAGCCUCACGAUCAGGAUCACAUAAUCUAAUCUAACCGCUAAGAUUAUGCUAACCCUCAACCAAAAGUGCGUUUAGCAAUUUUCGUGGGCCGACGAAAACUCUGUCGUCCCACGUUCGCGAUGUCUACCACCGCACGAAAAUAGGAAACUGAUCGCAAUCAGAUAUACUUAAUUUGUGCGAUGUGAUUGCUGGUGCUCGCUCAAAACAAUUAUCCCGCGACCCAGGCCGCACGAGACGCGAAUGGACGAGCUUCUUCCCAUCUAAUAAACCACAACAAAGAUCAGAGGCGGCGAGGGCGCGGCCCAUGGGGCAGGACGUCGCUGCUGGCAAUGCUCCUCGGCAAGACGAUGCCGGAGAUCGGCUAGGCCAGUCAGUUCGCCCGCGACAUCAUUGCGCAAAGGCAGUUCCGCCCAAGAUCUCGCAGCGGCGACGCCCAUCGCGAGGACCAGGAAAGCCACCGCGGAGCAGAUGCCGCUCCAUGCCAAUCGUGCCAAGGAGAAGCAGAGACAGCGGGGCACGGCCGGAGCCGAGGCCGACACGCCGUCGUUGCGUGUGCGCGUCCAGUACCACGUACAGUUCAAGCCCACCUAGCCCCACUGGCCACCCGUAUGUGUCGGCGGCAAAUAGGGUGUCCCCCAAGAACUGGCUGUCGCUCCCUCCUCCUCCAUGGCGUACGCCUAGCCGCUAGCGAGAAAGAAACAGAAGCUGUCCUACAAAACUCGGUACCUUGUCAUGGUCGCGCAAACGCUGCACAAGUUCCUGGGUUAGUGAUCUAUGGAUCUAUUAUAUUUCUUUGGAUCUUAUCUUCUUAUUUAUCUUUCAAGGAUACCAGCAGCUGUUGGAGCUAAUGGCCUAAUGCAGCUCUGAAAAAAUAUGAACGUAAGAGGAAGACCAACUACUUCAGUUGGAUUUUACUUUUGUCAUGGUGCUCCCCGUUGACUACUGUUUGCUUGUUGAGUUAGCUCGUACAUAGAUGUAUUCCCUUCUUAUCAGAUGAGAUGCAGUUUGUUACCACAUCCAAGAAUUGGUUUUCUUCCGCAUGCAGAAACAAUGCCCUGCAUGUUCAAAUCUGUUAUCUUGUCAUUCCUCAAGUUUCUCACUUUCUUUUGACCUUGUUUUGCAGAGUUGGAGGUAGUUCUGGGGCGAGAUCCGAUGUGUGUUGACGUAGAGUAGCUCACCGAUGCAUAGGGGCUUCUUUUUUAUUUGCCGGUACCUGACGAACUCUAUGAGCUUUCAUCGUGGAUUGGAGACAUUUUUAGCUACCUCCAAGUUGAUUCUUUGAUUUUUAUUUUGACUUUUUUGCUCAUUCGCUGCUCAGUGGGUACAGGAUCGGUGCAACGUGGUUGCGAGCUGUCCUGUCGUAACGCAUGUCUCCCUAAAGGUUCAUGACCCCUUUCUCUUUUUUUCCGUACCUAUCUUUCGAGGUUUUUUUGUGUCAAAGUAUCUACUAAUCAUCGAAAAUUUCAUUAUGCGUCAUGUUCUAUUUUAUGAUUGGUUGAUUAGCUCUGGUGAUAUUUUGAAAUAAUCUUGAUUUAACCAUAUUGAUCAGAAAUUGGUACAACUCUUUACACCUUUCCUUGCUCACUGUGCUGAAUUAAACAUCAAGUCGAUAAUAUGAUAUGCUUACAUAUAGACGCCAUUCAAUUGAUAUGACUCCAUGAGCGUGAAACAAGCAGCAGCUCAGAGCUUCAAUGACAAGAUAAGGUUUAACAGUUGAGUGGUAUUUUUUGCUAGAUGUAUUUCUUUCCAUUUUUAUCUGAAUAGCCAUGAACAUAUAGCUGCAAAUGUUAUUAAGCAAGCUACUAGGAGUCCUUGAACUAGCAUCCAAAGUUACCUACUCUACCUGAACUGCCACCUUAGACUCACAGGACUCUCAAGAACCCCGCAACGCUUGCCUGACUAAUGAGUUGCUAUUCAAUUCUCAGUCUCUCAACUGGAUCAGAGUCUUCAAAUGUGCAUCUUUAACUCAUUAUUAUGUGUGUUUGUUUAGUAUAGUUGGAUUGAGUUACUUUAUGUGCUUAUUCCCAGUUGACUAUGCUCAAUUCAGUUAAUAGAAGUUUUGGAUUCAAUUUUCAGAAAUAUUUCAUAUGCAGAAGAACAAAGGCACAUGUGUGGUCAUUGGGCGACUGGUUUGCCAAGUUGUGAAUCUUCAGGUAUUUAGAUAGGUUGAUAUGAUAAUAUGCUUUCAAAUGCAUCAAGUAAGGAGGUACCGGGUUUGAUUCAAGGUGAUUUGUGUUGAUUAAUGUCUGAAUGUCAAUUGAAACUAGGUACUUGCCUUCAUUGCAAUACAUUAGUUUGUCUCCUUCAGAGAUGUGUUUUAUACUCUUCUGAUGUAACUUUACACCAGGUUCGUCCUCAUGUCAAAUGACAUAGAGAAGCUUCCAUCAUAUUAGAAUAGUUGUGUAAUGUGUGGUCAUAUUCAUCGCUAAGUGCACCCAUCCUAAACUACACAAAAUAGCACGGAUCAAUCACAGCCUCACAAUCAGGAUCACUUAAUCUAAUCUAACCGGUAAGAUUAUGCUAACCCUCAGCCAAAAGUGCGUUUAGCAAUUUUCGUGGGCCGACGAAAACUCUGUCGUCCCACGUUCACGAUCUCUACCACCGCACAAAAAUAGGAAACUGAUCGCAAUCAGAUAUCCUUAAUUUGUGCACUGCGAUUGCUAGUGCUCGCUCAAAAAAACUAUCCCGCGACCCAGGCCGCACGAGACACGAAUGGACGAGCGUCUUCCCAUCUAAUAAACCACAACAAAGAUCGGAGGCGGCGAGGGCGCGGCCCAUGGGGCAGGACAUCGCUGCUGGCAAUGCUCCUCGGCAAGACGAUGCUGGAGAUCGGCUAGGCCAGUUAGUUCGCCCGGGACAUCAUUGCGCGAAGGCAGUUCCGCCCAAGAUCUCACAGCGGCGACGCCCAUCGCGAGGACCAGGAAAGCCACCGCGGAGCAGAUGCCACUCCAUGCCAAUCGCGCCAAGGAGAAGCAGAGACAGCGGGUCACGGCCGGAGCCGAGGCCGGCACGCCGCCGUUCCGUGUGCACGUCCGGUACCACCUACAGUUCAAGCCCACCUAGCCCCGCUGGCCACCCGUAUGUGUCGGCGGCGAAUAGGGUAUCCCCCAAGAACCGGCUGUCGCACCCUCCUCCUCCACGGUGUACGCCUAGCCGCCGGCGAGAAAGAAACAGAAGCCGUCCUACAAGACUCGGUACCUUGUCAUGGCCGCGCAAACGCUGCACAAGUUCCUGGGUUAGUGAUCUAUGGAUCUAUUAUAUUUCUUUGGAUCUUAUCUUCUUAUUUAUCUUUCAAGGAUACCAGCAGCUGUUGGAGCUAAUGGCCUAAUGCAGAUCUGAAAAAAUAUGAACGUAAGAGGAAGACCAACUACUUCAGUUGGAUUUUACUUUUGUCAUGGUGCUCCCUGUUGACUACUGUUUGCUUGUUGAGUUAGCUCGUACAUAGAUGUAUUCCCUUCUUAUCAGAUGAGAUGCAGUUUGUUACCACAUCCAAGAAUUGGUUUUCUUCCGCAUGCAGAAACAAUGCCCUGCAUGUUCAAAUCAGUUAUCUUGUCAUUCCUCAAGUUUCUUACUUUCUUUUGACCUUGUUUUGCAGAGCUGGAGGUAGUUCUGGGGCGAGAUCCGAUGUGUGUUGACGUAGAGUAGCUCACCAAUCCAUCGGGGCUUCUUUUUUAUUUGCCGGUACCUGACGAACUCUAUGAGCUUUCUUCGUGGAUUGGAGACAUUAUUAGCUACCUCCAAGUUGAUUCUUUGAUUUUUAUUUUGACUUUUUUGCUCAUUCUCUGCUCAGUGGGUGUAGGAUCGGUGCAAUGUGGUUGCGAGCUGUCCCGUCAUAACGCAUGUCUCCCUAAAGGUUCGUGACCCCUUUAUCUUUUUUUUUCCAUACCUAUCUUUCGAGGGUUUUUUGUGUCAAAGUAUCUGCUAAUCAUUGAAAAUUUCAUUAUGCGUCAUGUUCUAUUUUAUGAUUGGUUGAUUAGCUCUGGUGAUAUUUUGAAAUAAUGUUGAUUUAACCAUAUUGAUCAGAAAUUGGUACAACUCUUUACACCUUUCCUUGCUCAUUGUGCUGAAUUAAACAUCAAGUCGAUAAUAUGAUAUGCUUACAUAUAGACGCCAUUCAAUUGAUAUGACUGCAUGAGGGCGAAACAAGCAGCACUCAGAGCUUCAACAACAAGAUAAGGUUUAACAGUUGAGUGGUAUUUUUGCUAGAUGCAUUUCUUUCCAUUUUUAUCUGAAUAGCCAUGAACAUAUAGCUGCAGAUGUUAUUAAGCAAGCUACUAGGAGUCCUUGAACAAGCAUCCAAAGUUACCUGCUCUACCUGAACUUCCACCUUAGACUCAGAGGACUCUCAAGAACCCCGCAACGCUUGCCUGACUAAUGAGUUGCUAUUCAAUUCUCAGUCUCUCAAUUGGAUCAGAGUCUUCAAAUGUGCAUCUUUAACUCAUUAUUAUGUGUGUUUGUUUAGUAUAGUUGGAUUGAGUCACUUUAUGUGCUUAUUCCCAGUUGACUAUGCUCAAUUCAGUUAAUAGAAUUUUUGGAUUCAAUUUUCAGAAAUAUUUCAUAUGCAGAAGAGCUGAGGCACAUGUGUGGUCAUUGGGCGACUGGUUUGCCAAGUUGUGAAUCUUCAGGUAUUUAGAUAGGUUGAUAUGAGGAUCUGCUUUCAUAUGCAUCAAGUAAGGAGCUACCGGGUUUGAUUCAAGGUGAUUUGUGUUGAUUAAUGUCUGAAUGUCAAUUGAAACUAGGUACUUGCGUACAUUGCAAUACAUUAGUUUGUCUCCUUCAGAGAUGUGUUUUAUACUCUUCCGAUGUAACUUUACACCAGGUUCGUCUUCA
rnacentral:lncRNA from 1 species